AGUUGUAAUUUGUAGAGGAUGCUUUUGGUGAGGUGCCGCCCGAGUUCCCUGGAACGGGACGCCACAGAGGGUGAGAGCCCCGUCUGGCUGGCCGCCGAGCCUCUGUAAAGCUCCUUCGACGAGUCGAGUAGUUUGGGAAUGCUGCUCAAAAUGGGAGGUAUAUGUCUUCUAAAGCUAAAUAUUGGCCAGAGACCGAUAGCGCACAAGUAGAGUGAUCGAAAGAUGAAAAGCACCUUGAAAAGAGGGUUAAAUAGUACGUGAAAUUGUUGAAAGGGAAGCGCUUGGGACCAGACUUGGGCGCGGCGGAUCAUCCGGGGUUCUCUCCGGUGCACUUCGCCGCGUCUAGGCCACCAUCAAUUCGUCNCGGGGGAAAAAGGCUUCGGGAACGUGGCUCCUCCGGGAGUGUUAUAGCCCGUUGCAUAAUACCCUGCG
rnacentral:rRNA from 1 species